CGAGAUGAUCGGACGGUCGCGCGCUCCAUCGGGGAAACCCGUCGAUAGCGUGAGGAAAGUCCGAGCUCCGCGACGCAGGGUAGCGGGUAACGCCCGUCCGCCGUGAGGCGAGGACCAGUGCCACAGAGACGAGCCGGCAGAUCGGGCAACCGGUCGGGCCGGGUGAAACGCGGCAAACUCUACCUGGAGCAAGGCCAAAUAGGAGGGCGCGUUCGGGACCUCGUCCCGGGCAGGGGUGCGUCGCCCCGCCCUCGGGUCGGCCGCUAGAGGCGGCAGGUGACUGCCGUCCCAGAUGGAUGACCGUCUCCGUCCCUUGGACGGGACAGAACUCGGCUUACAGGUCGUCUCGCUGG
rnacentral:RNase_P_RNA from 1 species